rnacentral:rRNA from 1 species
GACAGAGGGUGCAAACGUUGUUCGGAAUCAUUGGGCGUAAAGAGCGUGUAGGCGGCCCGGUAAGUCCGCUGUGAAAGUCGGGGGCUCAACCCUCGAAUGCCGGUGGAUACUGUCGGGCUAGAGUGCGGAAGAGGCGAGUGGAAUUCCUGGUGUAGCGGUGAAAUGCGCAGAUAUCAGGAGGAACACCAAUUGCGAAGGCAGCUCGCUGGGACGUAACUGACGCUGAGACGCGAAAGCGUGGGGAGCAAACAGG